UACGAGGGGGGCAAGCGCUGUUCGGAAUUAUUGGGCGUAAAGGGCGCGUAGGCGGUUUGACAAGUCUGAUGUGAAAUCUAUGGGCUCAACCCAUAGCCUGCAUUAGAAACUGUCGGGCUUGAGUAUGGGAGAGGUGAGUGGAAUUUCCGGUGUAGCGGUGAAAUGCGUAGAUAUCGGAAGGAACACCUGUGGCGAAGGCGGGUCUCUGGGCCGACAUUGACGCUGAGGAGCGAAAGCGUGGGGAGCGAACAGG
rnacentral:rRNA from 1 species